rnacentral:rRNA from 1 species
AUUGAACGCUGGCGGCAUGCUUUACACAUGCAAGUCGAACGGUAACAGGCCUUCGGGUGCUGACGAGUGGCGAACGGGUGAGUAAUGCAUCGGAACGUGCCCAAUCGUGGGGGAUAACGUAGCGAAAGUUACGCUAAUACCGCAUAAGCCCUGAGGGGGAAAGCAGGGGAUCGCAAGACCUUGCGCGAAUGGAGCGGCCGAUGUCAGAUUAGCUAGUUGGUGGGGUAAAGGCCUACCAAGGCGACGAUCUGUAGCGGGUCUGAGAGGAUGAUCCGCCACACUGGGACUGAGACACGGCCCAGACUCCUACGGGAGGCAGCAGUGGGGAAUUUUGGACAAUGGGCGCAAGCCUGAUCCAGCCAUGCCGCGUGCGGGACGAAGGCCUCGGUUGUAACCGACUUCUAGCGAAGAAUACGCCAAGGCUAAUAUCCUUCGGUGGAGUGACGGUACCGGAA